rnacentral:rRNA from 1 species
GAGUUUGAUCGUGGCUCAGGACGUACGCUGGCGGCGUGCCUAAUACAUGCAAGUCGAGCGAGGGUUUUUAAGACCCUAGCGGCGGACGGGUGAGUAACACGUAGGCAACCUGCCUCUCAGACCGGGAUAACAUAGGGAAACUUAUGCUAAUACCGGAUAGGUUUUUGGAUCGCAUGAUCCGAAAAGAAAAGAUGGCUUUUCGCUAUCACUGGGAGAUGGGCCUGCGGCGCAUUAGCUAGUUGGUGGGUAACGGCCUACAAGCGACGAUGCGUAGCCGACCUCGAGAGGGUGACCGGCCACACUGGGACUGAGACACGGCCCAGACU